AACAUGCAAGUCGAGCGGUAGCACAGAGAGCUUGCUCUCGGGUGACGAGCGGCGGASGGGUGAGUAAUGUCUGGGAAACUGCCUGAUGGAGGGGGAUAACUACUGGAAACGGUAGCUAAUACCGCAUAACGUCGCAAGACCAAAGUGGGGGACCUUCGGGCCUCAUGCCAUCAGAUGUGCCCAGAUGGGAUUAGCUAGUAGGUGGGGUAACGGCUCACCUAGGCGACGAUCCCUAGCUGGUCUGAGAGGAUGACCAGCCACACUGGAACUGAGACACGGUCCAGACUCCUACGGGAGGCAGCAGUGGGGAAUAUUGCACAAUGGGCGCAAGCCUGAUGCAGCCAUGCCGCGUGUGUGAAGAAGGCCUUCGGGUUGUAAAGCACUUUCAGCGGGGAGGAAGGCGUURAGGUUAAUAACCUUGUCGAUUGACGUUACCCGCAGAAGAAGCACCGGCUAACUCCGUGCCAGCAGCCGCGGUAAUACGGAGGGUGCAAGCGUUAAUCGGAAUUACUGGGCGUAAAGCGCACGCACGGCGGUCUGUCAAGUCGGAUGUGAAAUCCCCGGGCUCAACCUGGGAACUGCAUUCGAAACUGGCAGGCUAGAGUCUUGUAGAGGGGGGUAGAAUUCCAGGUGUAGCGGUGAAAUGCGUAGAGAUCUGGAGGAAUACCGGUGGCGAAGGCGGCCCCCUGGACAAAGACUGACGCUCAGGUGCGAAAGCGUGGGGAGCAAACAGGAUUAGAUACCCUGGUAGUCCACGCCGUAAACGAUGUCGAUUUGGAGGUUGUGCCCUUGAGGCGUGGCUUCCGGAGCUAACGCGUUAAAUCGACCGCCUGGGGAGUACGGCCGCAAGGUUAAAACUCAAAUGAAUUGACGGGGGCCCGCACAAGCGGUGGAGCAUGUGGUUUAAUUCGAUGCAACGCGAAGAACCUUACCUGGUCUUGACAUCCACAGAACUUUCCAGAGAUGGAUUGGUGCCUUCGGGAACUGUGAGACAGGUGCUGCAUGGCUGUCGUCAGCUCGUGUUGUGAAAUGUUGGGUUAAGUCCCGCAACGAGCGCAACCCUUAUCCUUUGUUGCCAGCGGUUAGGCCGGGAACUCAAAGGAGACUGCCAGUGAUAAACUGGAGGAAGGUGGGGAUGACGUCAAGUCAUCAUGGCCCUUACGACCAGGGCUACACACGUGCUACAAUGGCAUAUACAAAGAGAAGCGACCUCGCGAGAGCAAGCGGACCUCAUAAAGUAUGUCGUAGUCCGGAUUGGAGUCUGCAACUCGACUCCAUGAAGUCGGAAUCGCUAGUAAUCGUAGAUCAGAAUGCUACGGUGAAUACGUUCCCGGGCCUUGUACACACCGCCCGUCACACCAUGGGAGUGGGUUGCAAAAGAAGUAGGUAGCUUAACCUUCGGGAGGGCGCUUACCACU
rnacentral:rRNA from 2 species